rnacentral:rRNA from 1 species
AAUGAACGCUGGCGGCAGGCCUAACACAUGCAAGUCGAGCGGACCCUUCGGGGUUAGCGGCGGAUGGGGGUGUCACGCGUCGGAAUAUGCCCUUCUCUACGGAAUACUCCUGGGAAACUGGGGGUAAUACCGUAUACGCCCUUUUGGGGAAAGAUUUGUCGAGGAAGGAUUAGCCCGCGUUGUAUUAGGUAGUUGGUGGGGUAAUGGCCUAUCAAGCCGUCGAUCCAUAGCUGGUUUGAGAGGAAGGUCAGCCACGCUGGGACUAGGAAGCGGCCGAGAAUAUUACGGGAGGGAGGAGAGGGGAAUCUAAGAAAAGCGGGGGAGCCAUGAAGGAGCCAGGCCGGGAGAGCGAUGAAGGCCGGAAAGAAGAAAAGCUCUUUAAGCUGGGAAGAUAAUGACGGUACCAGAAGAAGAAGCCCCGGCUAACUCCGUG